GUGAGGAAUAUUGGUCAAUGGGCGAGAGCCUGAACCAGCCAAGUCGCGUGAAGGAAGAAGGAUCUAUGGUUCGUAAACUUCUUUUGCAGGGGAAUAAAGUGCGGGACGUGUCCUGUUUUGUAUGUACCCUGAGAAUAAGGAUCGGCUAACUCCGUGCCAGCAGCCGCGGUAAUACGGAGGAUCCGAGCGUUAUCCGGAUUUAUUGGGUUUAAAGGGAGCGUAGGUGGUUUGAUAAGUCAGCGGUGAAAGUUUGCAGCUUAACUGUAAAAAUGCCGUUGAAACUGUCGGACUUGAGUGUAAAUGAGGUAGGCGGAAUGCGUGGUGUAGCGGUGAAAUGCAUAGAUAUCACGCAGAACUCCGAUUGCGAAGGCAGCUUACUAAGCUACAACUGACACUGAAGCACGAAAGCGUGGGGAUCAAACAGGAUUAGAUACCCGGGUAGUCC
rnacentral:rRNA from 1 species